GGAUGAACGCUGGCGGCGUGCUUAACACAUGCAAGUCGAACGGAAAGGCUCCUGCUUGCAGGGGUACUCGAGUGGCGAACGGGUGAGUAACACGUGGGUGAUCUGCCCUGCACUUCGGGAUAAGCCUGGGAAACUGGGUCUAAUACCGGAUAGGACGAUGGUUUGGAUGCCAUUGUGGAAAGUUUUUCGGUGUGGGAUGAGCUCGCGGCCUAUCAGCUUGUUGGUGGGGUAAUGGCCUACCAAGGCGUCGACGGGUAGCCGGCCUGAGAGGGUGUACGGCCACAUUGGGACUGAGAUACGGCCCAGACUCCUACGGGAGGCAGCAGUGGGGAAUAUUGCACAAUGGGCGCAAGCCUGAUGCAGCGACGCCGCGUGGGGGAUGACGGCCUUCGGGUUGUAAACUCCUUUCGCUAGGGACGAAGCGCAAGUGACGGUACCUGGAGAAGAAGCACCGGCUAACUACGUG
rnacentral:rRNA from 1 species